rnacentral:tRNA from 1 species
GGGCCGUUAGCUUAGUUGGUAGAGCGGCUGACUCUUAAUCAGCGGGUCAUAGGUUCGAGUCCUAUACGGCCUA